UAUGGUCAUACCACGUUGAAACAACGGUUCCCGUACGAUUACUGAAAUUAAGCAACGUCGAGCCUGGUCAGUACCUAGAUGGGUGACCGGUUCUGAAAACCAGGUAUU